UACGUAGGGUGCGAGCGUUGUCCGGAAUUAUUGGGCGUAAAGAGCUCGUAGGCGGUGUGUCACGUCGGCCUGAAAACCUGCAGCUUAACUGUGGGCGUGCGGUCGAUACGGGCAUCACUGGAGUUCGGCAGGGGAGACUGGAAUUCCUGGUGUAGCGGUGAAAUGCGCAGAUAUCAGGAGGAACACCGGUGGCGAAGGCAGCCCCCUGGGCCGACGACUGACGCUCAGGCACGAAAGCGUGGGGAGCAAACAGG
rnacentral:rRNA from 1 species